AUUGAACGCUGGCGGCAUGCCUUACACAUGCAAGUCGAACGGCAGCACGGGUGCUUGCCCCUGGUGGCGAGUGGCGAACGGGUGAGUAAUACAUCGGAACAUGUCCUGUAGUGGGGGAUAGCCCGGCGAAAGCCGGAUUAAUACCGCAUACGAUCCACGGAUGAAAGCGGGGGACCUUCGGGCCUCGCGCUAUAGGGUUGGCCGAUGGCUGAUUAGCUAGUUGGUGGGGUAAAGGCCUACCAAGGCGACGAUCAGUAGCUGGUCUGAGAGGACGACCAGCCACACUGGGACUGAGACACGGCCCAGACUCCUACGGGAGGCAGCAGUGGGGAAUUUUGGACAAUGGGCGAAAGCCUGAUCCAGCAAUGCCGCGUGUGUGAAGAAGGACUUCGGGUUGUAAAGCACUUUUGUCCGGAAAGAAGUCCUUGACUCUAAUACAGUCGGGGGAUGACGGUACCGGAAGAAUAAGCACCGGCUAACUACGUG
rnacentral:rRNA from 1 species